rnacentral:tRNA from 1 species
UCCCUCGUAGCUCAGUUGGUAAAGAAUCUGCCUGCAAUGCAGGAGAUCUAGGUUCAAUUCCUGGUUUAGGAA